rnacentral:tRNA from 2 species
GCCGGUAUAGCUCAGUCGGUAGAGCAACUGAUUUGUAAUCAGUAGGUCCCGGGUUCGACUCCUGGUGCCGGCACCA